rnacentral:tRNA from 1 species
GGGCCCUUAGCUCAGCUGGGAGAGCGCUUGCAUGGCAUGCAAGAGGUCGUCGGUUCGAUCCCGAUAGGGUCCA